rnacentral:rRNA from 1 species
UGGGGAAUAUUGGGCAAUGGGGCGCAAGCCUGACCCAGCAACGCCGCGUGAAGGAAGAAGGCUUUCGGGUUGUAAACUUCUUUCUCAGGGACGAAGCAAGUGACGGUACCUGAGGAAUAAGCCACGGCUAACUACGUGCCAGCAGCCGCGGUAAUACGGAGGAUGCGAGCGUUAUCCGGAUUUAUUGGGUUAAAGGGUGCGCAGGCGGGCGUCUAAGUCAGCGGUGAAAGUUCCCGGCUCAACCGGGUCAGUGCCGAUGAUACUGGGGGCCUUGAAUGCGGUCGAGGCCGGCGGAAUGUGGCGUGUAGCGGUGAAAUGCAUAGAUAUGCCACAGAACACCGAUAGCGAAGGCAGCUGGCCGGGCCUGCAUUGACGCUGAGGCACGAAAGCGUGGGGAUCGAACAGGAUUAGAUACCCUGGUAGU